rnacentral:rRNA from 1 species
GACGAACGCUGGCGGCGUGCCUAAUACAUGCAAGUCGAGCGGACCAAAGGGAGCUUGCUCCUGGAGGUUAGCGGCGAACGGGUGAGUAACACGUGGGCAACCUGCCUGUAAGACUGGGAUAACAUCGAGAAAUCGGUGCUAAUACCGGAUAAUAAAAAGAACUGCAUGGUUCUUUUUUGAAAGAUGGUUUCGGCUAUCACUUACAGAUGGGCCCGCGGCGCAUUAGCUAGUUGGUGAGGUAACGGCUCACCAAGGCGACGAUGCGUAGCCGACCUGAGAGGGUGAUCGGCCACACUGGGACUGAGACACGGCCCAGACUCCUACGGGAGGCAGCAGUAGGGAAUCUUCCGCAAUGGACGAAAGUCUGACGGAGCAACGCCGCGUGAGUGAUGAAGGUUUUCGGAUCGUAAAACUCUGUUGUUAGGGAAGAACAAGUGCCGUUCGAAAGGGCGGCACCUUGACGGUACCUAACGAGAAAGCCACGGCUAACUACGUGCCAGCAGCCGCGGUAAAG